rnacentral:snoRNA from 1 species
AUCCUUUUGUAGUUCAUAAGCAUGAUGACUGGGUGUUCGUGUCAUGUGUGAGAUGUGCCACUCUCAAACCUUGUUAUGAUGUCGGCACAUUACCCAUCUGACA